ACACACAGAGGAGAGUCGUUUCUGAGUAGUUGCUGGUGUCUUUAGGUUGUAAUCUAGCCUCAGGGCCGAGACACUUUGAAUGUCCUAGUCUGAGCAGCCUAACGCCCUAGAUUAGCUAAAAUACCUCUUCACUGCAGCCUAAUGCUCUAGGUUAGCUAAAAUAACCCUUCACUGCAGCCUAAUGCCCUAGGUUAGCUAAAAUACCUCUUCACUGCAGCCUAAUGCCCUAGGUUAGCUAAAAUACCUCUUCACUGCAGCCUAAUGCUCUAGAUUAGCUAAAAUACCUCUUCACUGCAGCCUAAUGCUCUAGGUUAGCUAAAAUACCUCUUCACUGCAGCCUAAUGCUCUAGAUUAGCUAAAAUACCUCUUCACUGCAGCCUAAUGCCCUAGGUUAGCUAAAAUAACCCUUCACUACAGCCUAAUGCUCUAGGUUAGCUAAAAUAACCCUUCACUGCAGCCUAAUGCUCUAGGUUAGCUAAAAUAACCCUUCACUGCAGCCUAAUGCCCUAGGUUAGCUAAAAUACCUCUUCACUGCAGCCUAAUGCUCUAGGUUAGCUAAAAUAACCCUUCACUGCAGCCUAAUGCCCUAGGUUAGCUAGAAUAACCCUUCACUACAGCCUAAUGCUCUAGGUUAACUAAAAUAACCCUUCACUACAGCCUAAUGCCCUAGGUUAGCUAAAAUAACCCUUCACUACAGCCUAAUGCUCUAGGUUAGCUAAAAUAACCCUUCACUACAGCCUAAUGCUCUAGGUUAACUAAAAUAACCCUUCACUACAGCCUAAUGCCCUAGGUUAGCUAAAAUAACCCUUCACUACAGCCUAAUGCCCUAGGUUAGCUAAAAUAACCCUUCACUAAAGCCUAAUGCUCUAGGUUAGCUAAAAUAACCCUUCACUACAGCCUAAUGCCCUAGGUUAACUAAAAUAACCCUUCACUACAGCCUAAUGCUCUAGGUUAGCUAAAAUAACCCUUCACUACAGCCUAAUGCUCUAGGUUAGCUAAAAUAACCCUUCACUACAGCCUAAUGCCAUAGGUUAGCUAAAAUAACCCUUCACUACAGCCUAAUGCCCUAGGUUAGCUAAAAUAACCCUUCACUACAGCCUAAUGCCCUAGAUGAGCUAAAAUAACCCUUCACUACAGCCUAAUGCCCUAGGUUAGCUAAAAUAACCCUUCACUACAGCCUAAUGCCCUAGGUUAGCUAAAAUAACCCUUCACUACAGCCUAAUGCCCUAGGUUAGCUAAAAUAACCCUUCACUACAGCCUAAUGCCCUAGGUUAGCUAAAAUAACCCUUCACUACAGCCUAAUGCCCUAGGUUAACUAAAAUAACCCUUCACUACAGCCUAAUGCUCUAGGUUAACUAAAAUAACCCUUCACUACAGCCUAAUGCUCUAGGUUAGCUAAAAUAACCCUUCACUACAGCCUAAUGCCCUAGGUUAGCUAAAAUAACCCUUCACUACAGCCUAAUGCCCUAGGUCAGCUAAAAUAACCCUUCACUACAGCCUAAUGCCCUAGGUUAGCUAAAAUAACCCUUCACUACAGCCUAAUGCCCUAGGUUAGCUAAAAUAACCCUUCACUACAGCCUAAUGCCCUAGGUUAGCUAAAAUAACCCUUCACUACAGCCUAAUGCCCUAGGUUAGCUAAAAUAACCCUUCACUACAGCCUAAUGCCCUAGGUUAGCUAAAAUAACCCUUCACUACAGCCUAAUGCCCUAGGUUAGCUAAAAUAACCCUUCACUACAGCCUAAUGCCCUAGGUUAGCUAAAAUAACCCUUCACUACAGCCUAAUGCCCUAGGUUAGCUAAAAUAACCCUUCACUACAGCCUAAUGCCCUAGGUUAACUAAAAUAACCCUUCACUACAGCCUAAUGCUCUAGGUUAGCUAAAAUAACCCUUCACUACAGCCUAAUGCCCUAGGUCAGCUAAAAUAACCCUUCACUACAGCCUAAUGCCCUAGGUUAGCUAAAAUAACCCUUCACUACAGCCUAAUGCCCUAGGUUAGCUAAAAUAACCCUUCACAGCAGCCUAAUGCCCUAGGUUAGCUAAAAUAACCCUUCACUACAGCCUAAUGCCCUAGGUUAGCUAAAAUAACCCUUCACUACAGCCUAAUGCCCUAGGUUAGCUAAAAUAACCCUGCAGCCUAAAGGACAGGUUAUUUUGUUACACCCUCAGUGAUCUCUCUCCACCUCUCUACUCAGCCAUUACCUAGGUAUACUGUCCUACCUUCCGUAAUGUAGUCUAGCUAGCUAUGAUUAUAAUGAGUCAGAGAGGGAGAACUGUAGUGGGAUGGGGUGCAGGAAAUGCCAUUACACCUCUCUGUGUCAUUUGAGAUUGUGCGUGUUUUAGUGUAAUUCGGGCUCAGACAAUUUCAUUUACAUUUUAUUAGUCAGGUCAUGUGGUCAGUCACGGAGGGGGGAAGUAAAACUGAGUAGGGUGCAGGAAACACCAUUACACCUCUCUCUCUCUCUCUCUCUCU